rnacentral:rRNA from 1 species
AUUGAACGCUGGCGGCAGGCCUAACACAUGCAAGUCGAGCGGAUGAAGGGAGCUUGCUCCUGGAUUCAGCGGCGGACGGGUGAGUAAUGCCUAGGAAUCUGCCUGGUAGUGGGGGAUAACGUCCGGAAACGGGCGCUAAUACCGCAUACGUCCUGAGGGAGAAAGUGGGGGAUCUUCGGACCUCACGCUAUCAGAUGAGCCUAGGUCGGAUUAGCUAGUUGGUGGGGUAAAGGCCUACCAAGGCGACGAUCCGUAACUGGUCUGAGAGGAUGAUCAGUCACAAUGGAACUGAGACAAGGUGCAGAAUCCUAAGGGAGGAAGCAGUGGGGAAUAUUGGACAAUGGGGGGAAGCCUGAUCCAGCCAUGCCGCGGGGGGGAAGAAGGUCUUCGGAUUGUAAAAAACUUUUAGUUGGGAGGAAGGGGAGUAAGUUAAUACCUUGCUGUUUUGACGUUACCAACAAAAGAAGAACCGGCUAACUUCGUG